rnacentral:lncRNA from 1 species
GUGAUUUUGCUUAUGCUCAUCAUCGUCCAAAGUUCAUCACAUGGUCACGAUUGUUUGAUGGUGUUUCAUUUUUCAUUUUUCUUUCUAUAAACCAGAAUGAUUUUAAAUUUGGAGCGUACGUACAUCUUAGUGAGGCGUACCUAAUAAAAAUAUGGAAAAAAAUAUUUUCGUAAAAAAUACCCCUGAAAAAUUACGGGGGUGUUUUGGUCAAUUUUUAUUUCGUGAAUUAUUUUUUAUAUAUUUUUAUUUGAUUUUCCUAUUUUUUAUGAACACACAAUCUAAAUUUCAGAUCAUUCCGAUUUGUAGAAAAAAAAUGAAAAUUGAAAAACUACUGUAUAACUGUGACCGUGCGAUGAACUUUAGAUGGUGAUGAGCAUAGGCGAAAUCACUGUUCAUACCUAUAGGCGUUGUGUAGUGUUUUCCAUAUAUAUAUAUAUGUGUGUGUGUGUGUGUGUGUGUUAUGUGUGUGUGUAUGUGGAAAAAGAUCAUGUACGCCCAUGUGCGUACUGCUACAGUAAACACCCAACGGUGUGUGUGUAGAAAAAGAUCUUGUACGCCCAUGUGCGUACUGCUACAGUAAAGCCCAACAGCCCAUAUUGAAUCUGAGCCAAUCUGACAAUCACGAAUGUACGGUAGUGUUUGAAUUUUAUUUUAUUUUUUUAUAAAUCCAAAUUACUUGAAAUUUUAAGCGUGUGUUUUUAAAAAAUAAACGAAUCUAUGAAAAAUAUCAAAAACAAUUUACAUGUAAUAAAUUGAUCAAACUUUCGAGGGUAUUUUGGUCAUUUUUUUCACGAAUAUAUAUUAGGUGUGACUUGAUGAGAAGAACAUAUACCUAAAAUUCGACUGUGAUUGUCAAAAUUUUAAGUGAUUUGGAUUUGCAGAAAAAAGUCAAAAUUCAAAAACGAAAUGAGGCUGUGACUGUCAGAUCGGCCCAGAUUCAAUCUAGGCCAUUGACGUUUACUGUAGCGGCCAGUGAGUGGGAGUACAUAGUCCAAAUUGGCAAAAAAUAAAUUGAUCAAAAUACCCCCAAAGUAUUUCGGGGGUAUUUUGGUCAGUUUAUUUCAUGUAAAUUUUUUUUUUGAUAUUUUAUUAGAUUCAUCUACUUUUUAAGAACACGUCUAAAUUUUUUAGUGAUUUGGAUUUGUAGAAAAAAUAUUAAAAUUCAAAUAUGAAAUGAGG